rnacentral:rRNA from 1 species
CGACCGGCGCACGGGUGAGGAACGCGUAUCCAACCUGCCCACCACUUGGGGAUAACCUUGCGAAAGUAAGACUAAUACCCAAUGAUAUCUCUAGAAGACAUCUGAAAGAGAUUAAAGAUUUAUCGGUGAUGGAUGGGGAUGCGUCUGAUUAGCUUGUUGGCGGGGUAACGGCCCACCAAGGCAACGAUCAGUAGGGGUUCUGAGAGGAAGGUCCCCCACAUUGGAACUGAGACACGGUCCAA